CAAAGUGCUGGGGUUACAGGCAUAAGCCACCAUGCCUGGCCAGCUUUUCAUAUGAAAAAGAAGAGACUCUAUCAAUCAAAUCGUAUUUCCCCCUUCCUGCACUCUAAGAAUGGAUGGCCCUUCUCAACUGCUGGGAAAUGAGGUGGUCCCUUCUCACUGUGCCUCAGGGCCUCACAGCUGGUACCAAGUGGCACCAUUGUUGGCAGACCCAGGAGAAGGCCAGCGACAGGGUAGUCAUCACUAUGCCUCCGUCUCUGUGCCUGGGAAAUGCUUGUUGGGCUUGUGUAUGCCCUGUCCUAGGAACUGGGAAGAGAGUGCUGAACAGAACAAGCAUAUUCUUGCCUUCGC